GACGAACGCUGGCGGCGUGCUUAACACAUGCAAGUCGAACGGACCUUCGGGUUAGUGGCGAACGGGUGAGUAACACGUGGGUGAUCUGCCCUGCACUUUGGGAUAAGCCUGGGAAACUGGGUCUAAUACCGGAUAGGACUACGCACUGCAUGGUGUGUGGUGGAAAGCUUUUGCGGUGUGGGAUGGGCCCGCGGCCUAUCAGCUUGUUGGUGGGGUGAUGGCCUACCAAGGCGACGACGGGUAGCCGGCCUGAGAGGGUGACCGGCCACACUGGGGCUGAGAGAAGGGCGAGACUCCUACGGGAGGCAGCAGUGGGGAAUAUUGCACAAUGGGCGCAAGCCUGAUGCAGCGACGCCGCGUGGGGGAUGACGGCCUUCGGGUUGUAAACCUCUUUCGCCAGGGACGAAGCGCAAGUGACGGUACCUGGAGAAGAAGGACCGGCCAACUACGUGCCAGCCGCCGCCGUAAGAC
rnacentral:rRNA from 1 species